rnacentral:tRNA from 1 species
UAUCCCGCGUGUAUUGUCGUACACACUGAUAAAACACCUAGUAGGUGUCACGGAGAAGAGAUAAUAUCAAGCUCUC